CCAACCCAACACGGGGUGUGGAGCUUCUAGGGGUGAGUGAGGGGGUCGGAAAGCUGGGGUUCCUUCUUGAACUUUUGAGGAAAAGUGAUUUUUUUUAAAAUUUAAACAUGUUAGACUUUUAGCUCAAAUAGAAAAAGAAAUGAGAAAUUUUCUGUUCACGGGGGCUUCCUUGAAUUUCAUGGCCUGGGUGGGUUAGCCUUGAUCCUGUUUACCCGUUUCUGUCUCUACUGGAGGAAAAUUCCAGAAGCCAGAAUUAGUAGUAUUCAAUUUAGCACAUCCCCUGGUGCUGGGAAAUGCCAGAUCUUGUGCCCUUCUGUUCUUUAGAGGGCUUAAAAAGCCCUACUAUGAAACGUGCAUGGGGGGUGUGUGUGUGUGUGGAAGGGUUUGUGGUUGUGGCAAAUAACUAGAAAAUACUGUUGCAGGAGGAGGUCACGGAGAGGACAUGACCCUGGGUUUACUUGCCAGCUGCCUGGGGCAAUCAGACCCCCUCAGGGGCUUCCCACCCCCUCCCCUGUGCUUGGCACGUACUUUCCGCUCGCCUUCCCAGCUGCAACCUGUUUCAAGUGCACAGCCUUGAGACCACCUGGAUGGGACACGUGACUGAACCCACGCGAGACUUCUAUAAAGACCGUAAGGUUGGGGCUGGUAGAUAUGGAGGUCUGUUUCGCUCAUGGGCGCAGGGAAGAGCUUGGUCGGAGCAGAACCUGAAUCAGAGUCUGGACUUUGGCAUCUGAGUAGAGGCCCAGGUAACUCAAGAGGAGACGAGUAUAAAUUCCGAAUUCAGUUGGUGCAAGCUGCUGCCCGGAGCGGACAGGAAGGCUCCCUGUUGUGUGUCUGUGAGGCCAUCUAAAAGCACACAUGUGUGCAUCAGUCCAGGAGAGAAGACUGAAUUGCAAUGGCUGGAACCAUGGAUGAGAGAAGCACGCUCAUCAGUAAAUGUGCAUGGAACACUCUCGGGUGGCAGUCCUGUGCUGCUGGGACUUCUAGGAUAGGCAGCCUGGGCUGGCUUUCCCAGGUGUAUUUUGCUGUCAAGGUUACUAACAAGUUACCUUAAACGUUCUCAGCCUCAGUUUCCUUAUUUGUAAAUGUGAAGAUUAGUAACACCUACAGGCUUGUUGUGAAGAUUACAUGAAAUCUCAUGUUUACUGAGCCCUGCUACAUUUCAGAAACCUGUAUUAGCUCGAUUGAUUGCCCCAACAUAUCCUCCAAGGUUGAUCUUCUCCCUCUUUUUCCAGUUGGGGGCUCAGAGAUGUUGAGUAAUUCAUCUGAGCUCACACAGGGAGUAUCAUGGCAGGCAGUCUGACCCUAGGGCACAUGAUUUCACACUCCACUGCUUGUUACCAAACUUCUGGGCAUUGUUAGUGUUCCACAAAUGUUACUGUUCCCUUCUCCUGUUUGCAACAUGUUUUUCUGAAUACCAACUUUAUUAGUGGGUUGGAUAAAGAUAGAAGAGGCAGGUUUCAUAGGAGAAUUUGUGUAUCUUUUGGAUAUUAGUCAAAUUAGGACAGGCUGAAGUGAGGGGCAGCACCUAAUUGGAUAAGCUAGGGAUAUUAUGUCCUACUCUUAGAUACUAAAAACCACUAGAGAGAGGCAGGAAGGAACUAAUACUUACAUAGAUACCUACAUAUAUAUAAACUCAUGUGUGUGUAUAUAUGUAUAAAAUUCACAUAUAUGUAUAAUUCACAUUGAUAAAUGUGAAUUAGCUGUAUACCUAGGUUAUGGUAACUGGGUUACAGAGGGACCCUGCAAGUCAUGAGUUGACGGUCUAUUGUCCUCAGCUCUACAAGGCUGUGAGAGCCCCAUCCAGUUGACAGGCAGUUCACUAUCCAGUUUCUCAAAUGCUUGUACAUUCACCAACAGUUUUUGUUUUUGAAAAUCCAAAGUAAUAAACUCAAAGAUAUCAUCUGACGUGGAUUUUGAAGUUUCCUUGCUCUGGCUGAUUUGCUGGCAGAUGAGAUAAUGCACAUUAAAAUGGCAGCCACAGCAGCACCAACAAGCUCCUGGCACGUCCCAAGCUCUUGAGUGAAUGUUUUACAUGCCUUACUUAAUUCAGUGCUCACGACAACCUAAUUGAGGUCCUUGUCCUCUUUUAUAGAUGAGGACAUGGACUCAGAGGGAUGAUCUAAUUUACCCAAGGGUCCUAAAAGGAAUUAGAAUUUAAAAGGCAUCACAUCCAUAAAGGGGUGUUUCAGAAAGAACUGGCUGACUGAGGGCUGCCUUGAAUGAUCCACGGACUGGCUAUUGGGAUCCUGGAGAGGAGAAGGCUGGCUCCCCUGGGAACAUAAGUGCCUGGUGUGGCCAAGGCCCUGGCAACUGCUUUACAAAGUGUUUGAGUGGAUCUCCAUGCAUCUUGGCACAUACCCUUGCUGUCUGAGAUAGAUUUUCUAUCCCAAAGUGUGACAGUUUCCCCUAAGUGUUCCUGUCACUGGCUCAGUGAUAAAAAGGGUGAUUUCCAUAGUUUUUCUGGCAUGUAGAGAAUGAGAUAGUGUCACAUGUAAUGAAGCUCAGAAAGGCCAUAAUAUCCUAAGCUUCUGCCUCAUCAUUCUUUCAGUUCAUCUAAGCAAGUUCAGACCUGCUCCCAUUUUGCAUUUAUCAGAACAUAACGGGGAGGUGAAAAUUCAGUUCUUGUAGUUUAGCACGUUGCCCUGAAUCUUGCCAAUAAAGCUUAAAGGACCCCAAGAAUCAUAGCAUGCUGGGUCCUCUCCCCAUUUAGCCAUAAACCCUGAGCUACUUUUUUCUAAUCAAAUUGUAAAAAGUCUUUUUUUUUAUUUUUUUUCUCUCGGCCCUGAUGCACUUGUGCAAUUCUUGGGGCUUAUGCUUGAGGUAGAAGGAGAAUUCAGGUUUGCCUGUCAAAUCCCCCCUAUUCUGGAGUCCCUGGGGUGCACUCUGCUGCUUACCAUCUCCUGUAACCUUGGUAUAUUCCCCAGGUUUGGUCACCAACUUAUUUUUUGAUCUUGUGCAAAAUUACCGUUGAAAGGUUAAGUUAACAUUCUUGGGUAUGUGUUUUGCCAUAGGAAGAUCAGGCAAUUCAUUCCUUCGACAGAGAUGGUUCUUCACUUUCUGUGCAUUGGGUGAUUUGGGGCCAAACACCAGAGAUAACGCUGGUGAGCAAGUUCACAUGCAGCCCCUGCCUUCUCAGGGUGGGAAUCUCCUAGACCAAAGGGUUUGGACUAGGCAGUCCCCAGUGCUUGCCAGGCCUCGAGGUGCAUUAACUCCUUUCCACCCUGCAACGCGUGCAUUAUAAUCUCCUUUUAAGAGCAGAGAGGGUCAGGUGCCGAGGUGGUAGGUUACUUUCCCAGCCUCCCACAGCAAAUAAGCUCCAGAACUGGAACUGAGAUUUGGUUCCAAAGCCCACUGGUUCUCCAGCCUCUCCUCUGCUAGCUUAAGGGGAAGGGAACUAAUAUUUACUGAAUGCCUCUUAAGUCACAGUCAACACCCCUGAAAGAGGGAUCGUGCCCUCCAUUGUGUGAAUGUGGGACCUCAGAUUGAGAAAUUCUCAGGGGUUUGCUCAGCCUCCCAGAUAAUGGAGGCAGGUUGAGAGGGCACUUGGGCCUGCUCUAUUUCCAGAACUCGCCGCUGGGCCUCUGCUCCCUUUGUUCCCCGGAUCUGUGAAAGAGUUCACCAUACAUCAUACUCCAAGCUGCCUGCUUCUACCGUCUUCCUUGGUCUCAGCCAUCCACCCCAGAAACCUGAUAUAUUCUGAUUUGGCUGACUGCCUCUCUUCCCAACCAGCACAAACUGAGAUCUCCUCAUAAGCAACAGCAUCCUACCUGGAGAGAAGCACAUGACACUGUCCAGAUUUCCUGUCAUCGGCUUCAAGCUCUUGAUGGCAUUCCUGACUCGGAUCAGUUACUCAUCACCAAGACAACUGUGUCCAGGAUCCAGGUCAACCUCAAUAUUCAAGAGACUGAGCAAGCAGAUGCUUAGGGUCAAGGAGGAGCAGCAACCCUAUCAGAAAAGGGGGGGACAGUUCAGUUUUAAUAAAUUUACCUGUAACUUUGCAAUUAUAAAGUCUAGAGAAAAAUGUCUUUUAAUCCAGCCUGUACAUAAAGGUAAUGCCAUUUUGAAAAAUAAAUUUUCUUUUGACUACCCUAUGAGGAGAAUUGGACCAUCACCAUUCAUUCUCUCAGAGUCUUCUGUGGCUCUGGCCUGGGCUUAGCUCAGAACCAGCCAAUUUUCCCCAGGAUCUGUCCUGCCUGGGCAGGCCGUAUAUCAGGAACUGGCCCUCACUGCCACUCCCCUCUGCUCCCAGCAUGUGAUCCUGUGACCAGCUGCCUCCUGCCUGAGUCUCUAGCUUUGUUAUUUACUAGAUAUUUUUCCUAUUUUUCCCACACUGCAAUUAACAUCUAGAAAGGCAGAGAUCCCUAUGCAUAAAGCUUUGAACCAUCACCUGAAAAUACACCCAGCUGUUUCUAUACUGGAGUUUAAGAACAUUUAGCUAAUUACCGUCCUCAGGAAGAGAAAGCUUCCUAAUGGAAGCAGCAAGGUCUUUUCUGCCUUACAGUGGGAGCCAGUCACCAACAGAUAAAUAGGAGUUAUGUUACACCCCUCCCCAUUUAUGCCUUCACAGGGGAGGGUGUCAUAAAGUGCUGCCUCGGCAGGCCUAAUACUAUGAUGUGUAUUUUGACAAAGAUGCUUUUUCAGAGCCAUGAAAGUAAAAGCACCAUAAAAUCAGAAGGAAGCAGAGUAUAAAUUGAAUCUGAAUGAGUCCCAGCUCAGCUUUGCUAUUGCACCUUGGCGAAAAUGGCCUGACUCCUCUGUCCCCUCCAGCUGCUUCAGUGGCUGGACUUCCAGGAGCCUAAUGACACACAAUGGUCACUUGGGUUGCAUUGGCCUGGAGGGCCUGGGAAUGGAGAGGAGGGAGGGAGACAGGCCUGGUCCUAGCAAUGUGAAUACACAGAAGGUCUUGGAAGUGUGUGUGCAUGUUCAUGGAUACGUGUGUGUGCGUGUGUCUGUCUCUUGGGGUUAAUGUGCUGAUGCUUGGCCGGAAAGCAGUUCAUGGUUCCUGGCUCCUAUGUUCUGAUAGGUGGCUGCCCACUCUUUUUACAAGGCAUUGCUGAGAGCAGGCUUGCCCUCAUUAAUCACAGUAAUAGCAAUAAGUAGGCAAUUAAGUUCUCUCAAGGAUGCAUGUAAGAUUCCUUGGCUUUAGCAAAGCUGUACUAGUUGGUGGAGUUAAUGGCAAGGAGCUGGAGCUGUGAGUCUGGGUCAAGGCUCAUUUUCAGGUUCAGAGAGAUAAUGACAGUCGUAGAAUUGUCUAGUUUUCUCAGCGCAGGGAGGUCACCCUCAGGCUUGCUAAACUGUGAGCUCAGUAUCGUAGGGGCUGAGAUUUCUUCAUCUCCCUGAUGCAAGGGAUAGCUGGCUAGCUGCUGCCCCCUGACCGUGCCAAAAAUUCACCCUACUAAUUCUUUCUUACCCUGGAGACCAAGGGGAGGAUCCAUUCCCCGAUUGUGGCUCACACACUGUAUCCUAAAAAGGAGCACCAAUCCACAUUAGUGAACUGAAUUCAAGACUUAAAGUACUGUUGAUCUGAUGAUGAUGAGUUUGGGCAUCUUAAAGGCCAACUCCAAAUCUGCCUAUUAGCAGGAUCAUUGUAAUGGUUUCUUGGAGUGGGAGUUUCCUUGAAGCUCUAUCUUGCCCACCUCCAAAUCAUCUUGCUGUUAAACAACCUUCUUAAGUACCCUCACCAUGGUGCCUUUGCUCAGGAGCCCUUCACAUCUUUCUGUGUAUGUGUGCAGGAAGCCAGCUCCCCUGCUGGGUAAUCCUUGCUUAGUAGGCCCAUUCAGCUUGUGUCCCAGCAUGCAUACUGUUUCCAUCCUCCCCAGGGGUUCUCACCUGUGCUGGGCUCCCUCCUUCCCUUUUGCCUUUUCUCCUGCUGUUCUGCUCAUUUUAGAAAUUUCUCUGCUUUCUUCUUCCCUUAAACAAAUCCUCUUGAUCUCUGGAGGGAUAUUAUAAAUCUUGUCUCCUUCGGGAAGGCUUCCCAGGUUGAUCCCUGGCUGUACCAAACACUGGUUCUCUGAACUCUUAGAUCUGUGUUACACAACUGAAACUUUAAUUUAUACUGACUUGGAAGCUUCACUACUUCCUUGUGUGCCCUCUAUUGGGUCUUUUUACCCUGCUUCACUGGAAGUACCUGGAAGGCAGAAAUGAAAUGUUCAGUUAUUCAAUGGGACAGUUUGGAGUAUGGGAGAGACAACAGACAUGGGCACAGGAAACCAAAGAGCCUAGUUAUGCCAUUUCCUUCCUGUGGGAAUUUGGGGAAAUUACUUAUGUCUGCUGGAUUUCCUACCAGAAGCAUAAGCAUCCUACUUAAGGUAGAGACUGCCCUUUCUUAUCCCACAUGAUGCCCACAGCUCAGACCUAGGGGUAUUCACUAACCCUGCUUCUUUCUUUUACAACUAGGGUAAUCAUUGGGAUUAUAAUAAAUAUUCAGCUCUUCCCUUCUGGGCACAGUAUAGGAAUAUACUAGUGCUUGGUCAAUAAAAUGUGAGCAUGACUGACACUUGUCACUUCCCAGUGAAAGUGUCAACUAGAGCAUGUAUCAAUGUAUUCUCCUUUUCUCAUGGUAAUGGAGAAGUACAUUGUUCCAAAUGGUAUCCACUCCCUCAGUUUGGGUCCUUGAGUGAAGAUGUGAUGAUAUAACCAUAGCCUCUAUCCUAUCAAACAAGGUUAUGUAGUAUCAGAAAGAAACAAACCUUGGUUUUUCAAACCACUGAGAUUGUGUUUCCCCCCUCCACUAGCAGUGUAACUUACGGUGUCCUGUGUGACUUACCAUCUUCCUUAUUCUUUGCCCCUGUUUUUCUUCGUCUUUUUCCUGAUGUCCCUCAUCAUAAAGAGUAUCCUACAGGUGGGCAGCAAACUCUCCAUAAACAGUGCUAAGAGCAUGAUACUCUCAACAGUAGUGUCUCCAUCGAUUUCAGAACCAGGGAAUUCUCACUGCUUUUCUGGUGGGCAAACUUUGGAAGUGUCAGAGUAUUUGGGGUCAAGCCAAGGCUUGGACUUUGAUUUUGUAGGUGGUGAGUCAUUACUUCCCCAACAUAUCCUUCUAAUGUCCAAAUCAAAGUGCUACAGAAAUAUGUAGGAUAUUUAAAAUGUUAGAAGCAAUAAAAAAAAUCCUGUAGAAGAUUUGAAUUAAUAAGAACUCUUAUAGGCCUUUGUGAUUUUUUUUUUCCCACAUUACACCACUAAUAUAAUUUAAUCUAAGUUAUUGAAACCUUCAAGGAUUUCUUGUGGUAUCAGGAUCUGGCAGGGUGAGUUGUUGGUGAUAUACAGAACAGAUAAAGUUGAUUUUGUUUUAUCUACUAUGAGAGAUGUGAACAAACCCUUGCUCAGGAUCUCUGAAACGGAUGUCUGAGAGAUCUAUAGAAAACAAACAUCCUCAUGGAAUGAGCUCACAUUUCAUACGUUUUCACCCUUCACAGCCUCCAAACGUGCCUGCCCCACUGUGUCUGUAAUAAGGAUCUCUAAGAGAAAUUCCAAAGAGGAGGAGGGAGGAGCAUGACUUUGCAUCUAGACUGAGAAGAACAGUACUUAUAUAAUUUUGUUUUUCAGUCUUGGUUAACCCAGACUUUUCUUUAAUUAACAGACUUGGCCAAUGUCAUGUUGUUAUCUAACAGUGUGUCUAAGAAAUAAAAACACUUCUUUUUCUCACUAUGUGACAAGGUCCAGAUGUGCUCAGAUUAAGUGUAGAGUCCAAAUUCCAAGACAGGACUCAAGAUUUUGUUAAAAACUCCAUGAAAAAGGCAAGAGUGAGGGAAAGAAAUUUACAUGUUCCCCAACCACGAUGUUUGGUUGGAGAUGGGGGAAGGGACCAGCUGGAUGAAAGGCUCUACAGCUACUUCAAUCCCUGGAUGAUCAGGCAGAGAAAAGUCAGGCUGCAGGAUGGUAUAGCUGUGUCUAAAAAGGGGUUCCAGGCAAGUAUGGUUUCUAGUAAUAUUUUUUUUAUGGGAAACAAAACACCACAGAACGUAAAAUUUCUAGCAAACUUGCUUAUUUUGUAGCAGCAGUUGGACAAUCGAAUGUACUAGCCUCCUCAAUUCAGAUGCUAGAUAUGAAAAUUAAAGCUGUAAUUUUUUUAACUUAAAGAAUCCCUGGACACAGUGAUGCAAUAGCUGAUUUAUAGAUGUGAGGACUUCAAUAGCCAUGAUCUAAGAGAAUUACAGCAAUGUGACACACUGAAAUACGCCUUUAUCUCUCCAACUCAGCAUGCGUGAGCAUACUAAAUACACAGAUUCUUCAGUUUUACAGGAAAAUCAUGUGUGAAUACUGAGUGUAACAAGCUUUGGAAGACUGGUAAAUUCUGCACAGCAGAGUGUUUGCUAAUGAAAGCAUUUAGGAAAAACUAAAGUGGUAAGACAAAGUGAAUGAUUCUCCAUUUUUCAAAAUGAUAAAGCAGGGUCAGUUGACUUCAUACUUAUUUAUCCAGGUUGGAGAAGGGGAAAAACUGGGAUUGGGUUCAGGAGACACUGAACAAUCCCAGUUUGCCACCUUCAACCGUGUUACAUUAGGUGGGUAACUCAACUUCUCCGAGUUCCAGUUUCUAGAUCAGUGAAGCUACUUACAGAAGGUUGUUUGGGAAACAAAUAAUAUAAUUCAUUUGAAAAUGCUAAGUAAUUUGUAAAGAACAUCACAAAUAUGAGAAGUUAACGAGUGUUGUUACUUUUGCUCUUUUUGGCGAAAGGAUGACCAAAUAACUGGUAAGACAUAUUUUCUGUAUGUGUCUGUGAGGGUGUCUCCAGAAGAGAUUAGCUUUUUAAUCAGACUGAGUAAAAAAAUAUUUUUACCAAUAUGGGUGAGCAUCGUCCAAUCUUUAGAGGGACUGAAUUGAAUAGAAAGGUGGGAGGUCGGUAGAUUUUCUCUCUUGGUUUGAACUGAGAUAUCCAUCCUGUUCUCAGGCUGUGGACUCCAGUGAAUUCCACCGCUGGCUUUCCUGGUUCUUCAGCUUGAACAUGGCAGAUUGUGGGACUUGUGGGCCUCUAUGAUUGCAUGAGCCAAUUCCUGUAGUCAAUUUCUUAUUUAUGUAUACUUCUAUAUAUCCCAAUGGUUCUGUUUCUUUGGAGAACCCUGAUUAAUAGACUCAUGUGACAGAUGACCAUGAAAGACUCGAGAAUAUGGUUAGGGAGCCCUAAAGAUCAACUGAUCUCUAGGAAGUAUUACAAAAGGUAUUGGAAACCCUGCAGAACAUGCUUUCUCUAUGGCUGUGCUCGACCUGCUGCACUGGUUCUGUAUCUAAAAGAAAAAUUUCAGAUGAGUUGUAGGAAGCUUAGAGAGUGCGGGAGUGCUACAGGAACCAGAGGAUGGAGGCACUUGCAUAAGAAACCAAACCACCCAGGACAGGACUUUGGUCUGGGUUGGGGCAGCAGAGGAGCCCAGUGCAUGUGAUUGAAGUCUACAAAAACAAUGAGUAGUGUGAAUUUUAUUCACCUCGCUCCAUGUAAAUAUAGGGACAAUUUUAGAGUUUGAGAAAACUUUAGAGCCAACUGCUUGAAAUAUGUGCACUCAAAAAGGAUGAUGAACUUUCUGAUUCAGAGAUUUAUCCUAUCUUAUUAAUCUCCCUGCCAAAUUUUUUCUUUCCAGUCAACCCACCCUUCAUACUGUAACUCCAGAUAUACCUACAAAAUAUACAUCUGAUCACCCCAACCCCAUCUUUGAACUACACAUACCUCCACAUCAUAGACAUAAGACUGUACCAACAUUUUGCUCUAACUGUGACCAUAGCCAAUAGUUAUCUUAAAAUCUAACCUCCACUAUGGCCCUUGGAACUAAAGAACAGGAAAGAAAAGUCUUGAACUUCUCCUGGAAGGGCCAGUAUUUCCCUUCUUUUUCUUGUUAAUAGAUUGCAGAGUCAAUUCUGUCAUCAUCCUGAGGGUAUUGCUCUAGAGAAAGAGCCUGGGUGUCGGAGAAAUCCAGCUGUUUAUGCCAUCCCUUACCCGUUUCUUUGUUACCUUCCACUUGAGAGGAUUUUGUGGUUCAGUUUCUUAAGAUAGUUAGAAGCCUGUCUAGUUAUUGCCCUAGAAACUUGAGGACAUCACAUAACUACAGGGCCAUAGGUAUAUCAGGCUGAGAUUCAUCUAUGAUUCUGUUUCUCAUUUCAAAUUAGCUGUAGCCUUUUGAUAAACAGGCUCACCAGAGACUUGAACAAUGGACACCAGGUGACAGCAUUAUUCAAAUAACGAAUCGUCAUCAACGCUACAUGCCUCAAAUUUGCUGUGACACUUGAAAAUUAUGUGAGCCCCUGCCAUGUAAAAACAACUUAUUUUUCCAAGAGAAAUUAAAGCCUAACUGAAAAAAUCACAAGAUAUUAGAGAAAAUGCUUUCUAAAACUAGGUACAAAAAUGUCUUCUCUCUCCAUGUGCUACCUUACAUUGCUAUUGUCCCAAAGACUGGACCCUUAGGUUCUUGGUGAGAGCUGGUGUGAGCUAUGCCACUUGCUUCUUUCCCCGAACUUUGACUUCCUUCAGCUCUAAUGUUCUACAAGAUCUGAGCAAGUCUUGCUACUCCACUGUAGCCCUGAAUCUCUGCAAGUUAUAUUCAUGACAGCUUUUUCUCCCUCUACAGUCUAUUUUUAUUCUCCUCUGUCAAGAGCUUUCUUCUUUCAAGUAGGUUAAACCCACAACUCAAGUCUGCAACCCAGGUUAAACUUUUCCCUCAUCUCCUGUAUGUAGGGCCAAUACUUAUAUUUAUUGGGUUGGAAGGUCUUUUCUCUUCCCCAUGGUUUUGAACACAAAGAAAGCCUUUUUCUUUACAUUAUUUGUUUUCCUCGUUGAGUUUCUGAUACCUCAGUUCCAAAGCCCUAAGUGAUAGUUAAUCGUUUAAAUACUAAAUCUUGAAGACUCUCAUUUUAUUUUUGAGAUUUUUAAGCUGCCCUACUCACACACAUUGGUUGGCAAUUUCUUCUUUCACUGUGAUUGAAACUAUAUUUUGGGUCUCUGUGAUCCACAACCAUCAUUCAUUGUUCAUAUAUUGGUUGAAUUAACUUGAACACACAUAGUGCAGAGGUCCACAGAGGAGGCUGUACUAAGCUAUAAAAAUGUGUAGGUCAAUUUUGCCUCAGGUAUUUCCCUGAAACUGAAUACAAAAAUUUCAAAUAUGUAAAGGAAAACAAAUACAGGACUUAAAAUUCAUUCAUUCUUUCCUGCCAGUUCUAGCAUCAAAAAUCCCAAAGCCAGUAAGUACCAUGCAAUUGGAAUCUGUUAUUUCAAGCUGCCAAGUGGAAGGUAAAUUUCAGAGCAGUUGUUUCUUAGUUAUUUCAAGGGAUUGGGAGAGUUUAUAACAGCCUUGGAGACAUUGUGGCUAUGGAAGAGGUGUUGUAGGUGUUUGUUAUUUUAAUGUGGGACUACCAGGAACCCUAGGGUCCUGCAUAUUUUUAACUGGAACCUGCAUAUUUUUAACAUAUUUUAACAGCCAUGGAAAGUGAAGGCCAGUGGGGUGCUGCUGAAUCAUUGGGAUAAGAGUGCCUCCUGGAUCCCCUUGACUGACAGGUAGAAUAUGACUUCUCAAAAUAGUGCCUUUCCCAGCUCUCUUCCUGAGUGACCUUGGAAAUAAUCUGGAGCACAGCAGAACACAGGGACCCUUGUGUUUAUUUGCUGCAUUCAAUAGAGCACUGUUACUAUAGGUGGUACUGAAUGGGUCAAAUUUUCCAGAAGGACCAUCACCGGGGCAUACCCACACCUGCAACUCUAGAAUUCAGGCUUUAGCAGGAAGGUUCUGCCUAAUAGUCUUGGGGGUUGGAAGUGUCAACAUAUUAAAAGUCAAGUAUCCAAUAAAAUUGGUUAUCUUCGCUGGAAUGAACUAAAUUUAGCAUUUAUUUUGUCUGUUCAAGGCUGUUAGUGGGCUCAACUCAAGGCCUUUCAGAGAAUGAGGGCCAUAGAAGAAGAAACAGAUCCCUGAAGGUGAAAUUUCCCUCUUAAGGAAUGGACCCUAUUGCUAUCUUGGAUAUACCAGUCUUUCCCAAACAGGGCAGGUUUGAGGCAGAGCUAAUUAAUGCCCCUAAGUAGCCCCUAGGCUGCGAAUCAAGAAACUUGAUGAUUAAAUCUGUCCUUUCAGAAUGGGCCAAGAGUCCAAAUCAAUUGCACUAAUAAAGGAAUUGACUUUAGGGUUACCUGGGGUUCUAACCCCAGAACAACCCAUACCUUUCUUGACUAGACAGAAGUAGGUCCAGAAAGUCAGUCAAAUGGGUUUUAUAAUGCCUUUCUUCCUAGGACCUGAAAAAAUAAAAUAUGUAUCUGGUGGACGAGAAACCUGAAAAGGUAACUAAAAAGACAUGGGUAGGCCUGAUUUGAACAAAAUUAGGAGAGCGUGGUAUAAAAGCAAAAAUGUAGGGUGUUUUGAGGAGGAGAAAAUAUGUAGAAGGAUUCUGAGAGAUGGAGUGAAAAUGUUGUUUAGAAAUGUCAAUAAUAUAGUCACCUGGGUGACUAAGUGAGUUAAGCAUCAGUCUCUUGAUCUCAGCCUCCUAAGUUCAAGCCCCAUGUUGGGCUCCACUCUGGGUGUGAAACCUACUUUAAAAAAUGUCAAUUAAAUCUGGCAACAUGUACAUUUUUGGUGAUCUUGACAAGAGCAUUUCUAUUUGGAAGAACCCAAGAUGAUAACAGGGCAAGGUAUUAAUGUGAGAUAAGUAAGUAAAGGCAGUAUAUCUAGAAAACCAGAGCAUUUAGGUUUGGCCGUGAAAUGAAUAAGAGAAAUGGAAUGGUAGGUAACCUUAAUGGGGAGAUAAAAGAGAGAAUACCUUGAGAAGCAAUGAAGUAGAGAAGUGAGAGUCUUGACUGAAAAGAGAAGGAUGAAGAGUCCUAGAAUACUGGGACUUAAAAGCAAGUUCUCAGAGCAAAGUAUGGUGUACGUAGGAAAGUACUUCCAGGGAUCUUUGGGCCCCAGCAUGGCACAGUAGUAGUCCUGUCUGUAACUAGAAAGCAUGGACCACGUGCACCUGGGUAAUGAGCAUCUCAGCACUAACAUGUGCAAAGGUAGUCAAUAACCAAAUGAGUUUUAUAUACUUCCUGUUGCUGUGUAAGUACCCUAAUAUUUUUCAUAACAAAUGUUCAUGUUGGGAAUUCCCAAGGAUUAUUGAAGUUGAAUUUCUCAUUUGCUUGAGAGAUUGGAUAGAGGCAGAAAUAAUUUGGUAUCAUCCAAAUAAAUCUAAUUUUUGAGCACUUGUCUUAGUGGAUUUGGAGUCAUACUUGGUACUUUAUAAAGGAAAAGUCAAGCAUAAUGAGAAGUUACAGCAAAGAACCUGCUUUCCACUGGGUGGUCAAUGAAGACCUCUCUGGGAAAGUGACAUUGAAGCUGAGAAUUGAAGGACGCAAAGGAAUGAACCAACUAAAGAGGGGAGGAAAGAGUGAAAAUCCCUAAGACAGGAGGUAACUUGGUGUCUGCUAUGAUCUUCAAGAAGGUUAUUGUGAGUGGUACAUAAUAGACAAGUGGAAGAGUGUCCUGAUGUGAAGGAGGAGGUGUGCACAGGAAUCAGAUUACGUACAACUUUACAAUGAGAAGUAUAGGCCAUAUCUAAAAUGUUUCCUAGAAGAUUCAUGAAGAAUUGUUUGAUCAGAGACUAGUAAUAGGGUGUUCAUUUAGAAGGUUACUAGAACAAUAGUUCAGCGGAGAAAUGAUAGUUGCUUGCAGAAAUGAUACAAUGAUUUAAGGAGAUUCAGUAGAUUUAAGACCUAUCCCAACAAUGGCAUUGACUAUACUGAACUGAGGCAGAAGUUACCAAGUAUAGUUUCCAGGUUUCUAGAAAAUAAUGGAGAGUUAUUUUUAACUGUAAAAUGAAAAUUCAUAAGCAAAUAUAUAUGCUGAUUUAAAAAAUGUAAAUGAGAAGAGACACGGGUAAUGCAACAGAGAAUGGAUAACUGAAGAAAAAAAAUAUUGAAGACAGCAAGAAGUAGAAUAAUCCACAGGACAGGUUGAUAAAUGGUAUUUCAUGGGAAUGAGGAAAUUCUUUAUUUGUAACAGGACUGAAGAAGAAGAUGGCUUCAAGUAUGUUUAUAAAUUUGGUAAGGGAAUUUGAAGAUACAUGUGUGCUUGGCUUAUUUUUCCUAAUGAUGUAUGAGAGAAUUAGUGGGUCUGGAGGGUUGUGAGAGCAGUCUAGGGGAGAGGGAAGAAGGUACAAAGGACGGACUUUGGACAAAAGAAAGCAAGCUUACUGGAGAAAUUUGCUAGGGUUGCUAAUCAGUGUUGAGAGCCAAUCUAAGGUCUGUGUCCAUUAAUUUAAGGUUACAUUCAGUCACAGUGAUUAGAAGAUUUCCUUCAGCAAGGAUCAGAAAAUAAUGCUUUGGCCGCAUUUGUUUGCCUUUUUAGAAGAAACAUGAGUGAGCAGAAUAAUCCAGAAGAGUAGAGUGGAAAGUCUCCUAAGAAAAUGGAAACCAGAGUCAUCUGGGGAAUUUGGUUUUUUGGACACGUCGUCCUUUGUAGUUCUAAGAAAGGCAAGGGUGAUGGCAAGUGUGGGGAGUUUGUUAGUUUGAUAAAAUGAGGUAUUUGCUUGUGACAACUUCUAUUUUUCUUUAUGAAAGACUACAAAAAAAUUAACUGCCAGUGGGGAGUAGGUUUUUGGGGUAGGGAGAGAAGGAAAAGAAAUCUGAGGUUUGAGAAACUUACACCAUGUAAUUGGUAGUUCUCUUAAAUACGCUUCCAUUGUUUGAGCAUGUAAGAUAUUCCCUGUUUUCUGAUACUUAAAAGUGAUGUUGAACAGUCUUAGCAACAAAAUAAUUCUAUCUAUGGCCAUUUCCUUAGGAUAAAUGAUAAGAUUUAGAAAAAAAAUGUUUUCUACUUUUUGUACUUUUUCAUUCCUUAAAAAAUUACUUCUAAAUUUUUUUUUUAAAGAAAGCAUUCAUUGUUAAAAUUUAAUUAACAGAGAAAAUCUUAUAGUGAUGCCCUGGCUGAGAAUGCAGCAAAGGACAAGAUACACAGUCUGGUGUAAAUUACUGCGUUCGGUGUCACAUAGCUUUCAGUUCCUAAAAUUGAGGUAUCAACACCACUAGUGUUUUACAUGGAUUGUGUGUGGCUGUGUAUAGGAUAGAAUUCAGCGCAUAUAAUUCCGGG